AGUGAACGCUGGCGGUAGGCCUAACACAUGCAAGUCGAACGGCAGCACAGUAAGAGCUUGCUCUUACGGGUGGCGAGUGGAGGACGGGUGAGGAAUACAUCGGAAUCUACUUUUUCGUGGGGGAUAACGUAGGGAAACUUACGCUAAUACCGCAUACGACCUACGGGUGAAAGCAGGGGAUCUUCGGACCUUGCGCGAUUGAAUGAGCCGAUGUCGGAUUAGCUAGUUGGCGGGGUAAAGGCCCACCAAGGCGACGAUCCGUAGCUGGUCUGAGAGGAUGAUCAGCCACACUGGAACUGAGACACGGUCCAGACUCCUACGGGAGGCAGCAGUGGGGAAUAUUGGAAAAUGGGCGCAAGCCUGAUCCAGCCAUACCGCGUGGGUGAAGAAGGCCUUCGGGUUGUAAAGCCCUUUUGUUGGGAAAGAAAAGCAGCAGGUUAAUACCCCGCUGUUCUGACGGUACCCAAAGAAUAAGCACCGGCUAACUUCGUG
rnacentral:rRNA from 1 species